rnacentral:rRNA from 1 species
CACGUAGGGCGCAAGCGUUGUCCGGAAUUAUUGGGCGUAAAGAGCGUGUAGGCGGCCUGAAAGGUCAGCUGUGAAAACUCGAGGCUCAACCUCGAGACGUCGGUUGAAACCAUCUGGCUAGAGUCCGGAAGAGGAGAGUGGAAUUCCCGGUGUAGCGGUGAAAUGCGCAGAUAUCGGGAAGAACACCCGUGGCGAAGGCGGCUCUCUGGGACGGUACUGACGCUGAGACGCGAAAGCGUGGGGAGCGAACAGG